rnacentral:lncRNA from 1 species
AAAUCAUGUCAUACCUUUGACGUGUAAAAUAAUCCAAAUGUUUCCUUAGGAAGUUACAAUAUUUUAAUUUUUUCCCUUAAAUCAUACUUCGAAUUCUUCCUAUAUUAUUUAUAUAACCAUUGAAGAAUCGGAUUAAUCAAAAUCUGGUUAGAUUUUAAAAUCGUAUGACGUCAGGUACAAGAGCUCCGAGCGGCUGCACCAUUGGUUCAUCGCAGCAGCAGCAGCUGUCUAGUCCCAAAGCGCCCACCAGGUGCUUCUAAGACCAGGAGAGUCUUAGAACCUUGAAAGCAAAUCUGAUUCAUGCGCACUUCCUCGGGAGCUGACUCUGGGGGGGUGGGUGACCCGUAGUCUGUUCCUCUGGGCCAACUGUGGUUCUCGGGUGGCGGCAGAACCUCCGCGGCCUCCAAAAGGGGCCCCUGUGGCGGAAUGGAAGGAGCAUGGGGUGGGCAGGAGGCGACUUGGAUUUGAAUUCUGACUUUACUGCUCUGACCGCCUCUCCCCUCUACCCCAAUUUUGUGUCUCUUUAUGGGCUGGCUGAGCUUCCUUUCCUCAUCUGUGUGGUAACAGCAUGACCUUACUGGGCUGUAGCGGGGUGACACUAUGUUACAGUACCAGGACUGUCUCAUCAAAUGCUUGUUGACCUGUUAAUUUCAUGCGUUAUCUUUCCUAUUUCCCAUCGCCAAAGUCCAUUUGCUGCAUGUAACUCAAACGCAAUGGAGCUUCAAAGGGUGAUUGGGGAACCUCCCCGUAGUCGGUACUGUCCUGAAUGUUCCUUUUCCAGGAAAGGUGGGGCUCUUUCCUGCGUCGCCAGGACUCAAGCUAGCACCUGGGUUUUGAAUGUUUAAAAGUUCAUUCUUAAGAAAUACAGUAGCCGCACGUUUGGCCUGGUUUCAGAGGAGUCCUUACGCAAACACACUUCCCUCUCCUAGGAGCCAGGCUGGGCUCGCCGCCCCUGCUCCCCCGCUUUCCCAGGCUCGCCUCCUCCUCUUCCUGCCCACCUCUAUGCCCCGCACCUACCCAGUCCCCACUCUGGCAAACCCCGGAGCGCCACCGCGCCCAUUGGCGGGUUUGCUUUUAUUGGCUUGUUCUGCGCUUCCUCCCGCCUUCUGGCGCGGGCACUGGAUGCUAGCCGUUUUGCUCCGGGAGAUAUAAGAAGCCCAGGUUUUCCCCCUUCCUGGGAGCGCUGCGGAUCAUUCGCAGGCGGCCCGGCACCCUCGCAUAGGUGGGCCGGCCCCUGGGGCUCCAGCCGUGCGCCCCCGGAACCACACGUGUGGCGAGGAACGGGUCCCGGGGCGGAGUAGGCAGAGUCCCAAGCGCAUCCUUCAGCCACACCUCCUCGGCUCUAGGGGGCGGUGAGCAAAGGUGGUCACCCCUGCAACCUCGCCCGCUACCCCCACGCACUCCUCCGUGUUCACAUGGUAGGAACUCCCACAGGCAAAAGCCUUUCCGAUGCGCUCAGCAGCCGCGGGAUCACUCGGGUGUUUGAACGCUCGCGCGCUCCUCCUAUUGGAGCUCCGGCUAAGGCGGGGCCCAGGUGCUUGCUUCCUCCGAGCUUGCUUAAGGUUUUCAUGUUGCAAUAAUUUUUGUAUUUUUAGUAGAGACAAGGUUUCACCAUGUGGGCCAGGCUAGUCUGGAACUCCUGACCUCAAGUGAUCCACCCACUUUGGCCUCUUUUGUAGAGACUGGGUCUCAGUAUGUUGCCCAGGCUGGUCUUGAACCCCUUGGCUCAAGCGAUCCUCCCUCCUUGACCUCCG